rnacentral:rRNA from 1 species
UACGAAGGGGGGCUAGCGUUGCUCGGAAUUACUGGGCGUAAAGGGAGCGUAGGCGGAUAGUUUAGUCAGAGGUGAAAGCCCAGGGCUCAACCUUGGAAUUGCCUUUGAUACUGGCUAUCUUGAGUAUGGAAGAGGUAUGUGGAACUCCGAGUGUAGAGGUGAAAUUCGUAGAUAUUCGGAAGAACACCAGUGGCGAAGGCGACAUACUGGUCCAUUACUGACGCUGAGGCUCGAAAGCGUGGGGGAGCAAACAGG